rnacentral:lncRNA from 1 species
UGAAAAUAAGCAAGAACCUGGCCAUUAACAAGCUUGCCCAAGCUCGAGAUCAGUGCAUUAACUAUUUUAAAUGUGGCGACCAAGGGCACCGCUCUUUCAAGCACCCAAGAAGCAGGCCGCUACACAUCCUCGUGAGGAGAUGAAGAUUAUGAGGAGGAUAUUGAAAUGGAACCCAUCUUUGAUGAGAGGCAUGAUGAUGAACCAGAAGGA